ACUUUCUGACUUAAAACAUAAAGUGCUUGAUUUACUCUUUGAAGUUACGUGAUGGUGGCAACGAUGCAGUUCGUCUUCUUUUUCUACAUAUUCAUCCCAAUCACAGUGUCUGUUGAGAUUUUUAAGCUGGUUAACAGUUCUGUUCAACUGGAUGUACAGACAAAAGAUUAUGAGUUCACCGACUUCACAUGGUCAUUUAACAAAAGUAAAAACAUUGUGAAAUACUAUAAAAAUUCUCAGAGUAUAGCAUUCACUGAUUAUAAAAACAGAGUGGAGUUGAAUGAGAAAACCCAAAGUCUGACACUGAAGAACUUGCAGAAGACUGAUAGUGGACUCUAUGAAGCAGUGGCAUCUGGUGAACAAAACCGAAUUGUGGCCGAGUACCAAUUAACUGUGUUGGAUCCAGUGGAGAAACCAGUCCUUAAUGGCCCUAAGCAGCAAAGCAAUGAAACUUGUAAUGUGACUCUCAGCUGUGAAGCUCAGAAACUCUCAGUCACCUCUCACUACUACAGUGAUAACUGUGAUAUGAAGAAAGAGACAACUGAAGACGGGGUCCUUUCCCUCUCAUUGUAUGUCAGUAACAGCUUCAUUAUUUGCAAUCAUAGCAACCCAGUCAGCUGGAAAAAUAUAACCAUAGAGAUGGAAGAAGUGAAAAAACUCUGCCCUUUUGAAGGAGAUAAAAAUCAUAAUGGCAUAAUUAUUGGCUCAGUAGUGUUUGUCAUCAUCAUCAUCAUCAUCAUCAUCAUCAUCAUCUCCACCUUUAACUGGCAUAAGAAACAUAGGACAACAGGUUCUGGUAAGGCAGUUUAUGAAGAAGUUAAGUGGGUAAAAAAGUCACUCGAGAUGUCAGAGAACCCUGAACAUCCUGGUACUAUUUACUAUACAGUCAUGAGGCCAGCCCAGACUUGUAGUAAUGAUGAGAGCACUGUAAGCACCGCAAGCCCUAGCAACAAGAAAGAGCAGGGUGAGAGAGGAGACAGUGGACCAGAGGCCAACAGGGAUGAUUAUGCAGGGUCACAGAAUCAAAGAGCAGGAAGCAUCCAUGAUGUACCACCUAAAACCGUGCUGUAGUGAACAAGGCUGGUCAACAUGUGUAAGAAGCCCAGCUCGAUGGAAACAUGUUUUGGUCACAGGCAGGCUGGAGCCUAUCCCAGCUGACUAUGGGCAAGGUACACCCUGGACAAGUCACCAGGUCAUCGCAGGGCUGAUAUGUAGAGACAAACAACCAUUCACACCUACGGUCAAUUUAGAGCCACCAAUUAGCCUAACCUGCAUGUCUUUGGACUGUGGGGAAAACCAGAGCACCCGGAGGAAACCCACGCAGACACGGGGAGAACAUGCAAACUCCAUACAGAAAGGCCCUCGUCGGCCACUGGGCUCGAACCCAGAACCUUCUUGCUGUGAGGUGACAGUGCUAACCACUACACCACCAUGUCGCCCUGAAUAAACAAAGUUGAUUUUGUUAAAGUCAUAAAUUAAGAAUGAUUAUUUUAAACCUAGUAAGUAAGUAAAAGAAAUUACCAAGGAUCAUGAAUCAUGUAUUAUUAAAACAUGUUUUUGUUUUCAUGUGUUUUUUUACUUGCGAAAAUCAGAUAUUUUU